GAGGGUACAGCUCAGUGGUAGAGUGUGUGCUUAGCAUGCAUGAGGUCCUGGGUUCAAUUCCCAGUACCUCCA
rnacentral:tRNA from 1 species